GGACGAACGCUGGCGGCGUGCUUACCACAUGCAAGUCGAACGGAAAGGCCUCUUUCGGGGGGUACUCGAGUGGCGAACGGGUGAGUAACACGUGAGUAACCUGCCCUUGACUUUGGGAUAACUUCAGGAAACUGGGGCUAAUACCGGAUAGGAGCUCCUGCUGCAUGGUGGGGGUUGGAAAGUUUCGGCGGUUGGGGAUGGACUCGCGGCUUAUCAGCUUGUUGGUGGGGUAGUGGCUUACCAAGGCUUUGACGGGUAGCCGGCCUGAGAGGGUGACCGGCCACAUUGGGACUGAGAUACGGCCCAGACUCCUACGGGAGGCAGCAGUGGGGAAUAUUGCACAAUGGGUGGAAGCCUGAUGCAGCAACGCCGUGUGCGGGAUGACGGCCUUCGGGUUGUAAACCGCUUUCGCUCAUGACGAAGCUUUGUGUGACGGUAGUGGGUAAAGAAGCACCGGCUAACUACGUG
rnacentral:rRNA from 1 species